AUUGAACGCUGGCGGCAGGCCUAACACAUGCAAGUCGAGCGAGCGGCGGACGGGUGAGUAAUGUCUGGGAAACUGCCUGAUGGAGGGGGAUAACUACUGGAAACGGUAGCUAAUACCGCAUACCAUCAGAUGUGCCCAGAUGGGAUUAGCUAGUAGGUGGGGUAAUGGCUAACCUAGGCGACGAUCCCUAGCUGGUCUGAGAGGAUGAACAGCAACACUGGAACUGAGACACGGUCCAGAAUCCGACGGGAGGCAGCAGUGGGGAAUAUUGCACAAUGGGAGCAAGCCUGAUGAAGCCAUGCCGCGUGUAUGAAGAAGGCCUUAGGGUGGUAAAGUACUUUCAGCGGGGAGGCGUUACCCGCAGAAGAAGCACCGGCUAACUCCGUGCCAGCCGCCGCGGUAAUUC
rnacentral:rRNA from 1 species